ensembl:lncRNA
ACCUAAAUGGUAAACGGACUGAAUCUUAUAUAGUGCUUUUCUACUCUCCCGGAGUACUCAAAGCACUCUAUACAACAUGCCACAUUUAUCCAGUCACACAAGCACUUUCUCUCACGCUUGUGAGCUGUCUAACUACACUCACACACAUUCAUACUCUGACGGAUGCAUCGGAGAGCAACUUGGGGUUAGUAUCUUGCCCAAGGAUACUUGACAUGCAGACUGGAGGAGCCAGGGACCGAACCACCAACCUUCCGAUCAGUAGACUGCUGAUCUCCAAAAUGUCAGCAUAUAGAACUGACAGAAAGGGUACAGUACCUUUGAUAACCGCUUCUUGCUGCUGUGCUGAGCAGAGACAUCUCAGAAUGCAGAACACUUCCAACCUUGAUGGGGAUUGGCUGCAACUCCGACAGGGUUCUAUUCCUGACAGCCAUGAACAGAAAUGUGAGGCUGCCGUGACACAAGCUCAAAGCUGGACAGUUAGAGAAUACACAAACAUCACCUGGUCUGUACCUCUUGGACCAUUACUCAUCUGUGCAGUGUGUCACCUACUGGUGCUCCACCAGUCACUCGCCAUUCUGGUUACCAGCUACACCUGCCUGCCCUCCUGCUUUCCCCUCUGGACUUGGAACUUCCUGGACUCUGGACACUCUGGAUCAUAGCCACACAGGCACUCAGCCUGAAACCGCCAGAACCUCAGAACCCAGCACCUUGUGUCUAGAUCACCUGCCUGUGCAGUACAAUAGUUACGUUUCAUAGUUGCCUGUCUUUGUGUGAUUGUAAAUAAAUAUAUUCUUUUGGGAAAGCCACUCAA